rnacentral:rRNA from 1 species
GAUCCUGGCUCAGGAUGAACGCUAGCUACAGGCUUAACACAUGCAAGUCGAGGGGCAGCAUGAACUUAGCUUUGCUAAGUUUGAUGGCAACCGGCGCACGGGUGAGUAACACGUAUCCAACCUGCCGAUGACUCGGGGAUAGCCUUUCGAAAGAAAGAUUAAUACCCGAUGGCAUAAUUCUUCCGCAUGGUAGAACUAUUAAAGAAUUUCGGUCAUCGAUGGGGAUGCGUUCCAUUAGGUUGG